GGUUGUGGCUCAGUGUUAGAGCGCUUGCCUAGCAUGUGUGAGGCACUGGGUUCAAUUCUCAGCACCA
rnacentral:tRNA from 1 species